CGGGGCGUAGCGCAGUUUGGUCAGCGCGCUAGUUUUGGGAACUAGAGGUCGCGAGUUCAAAUCUCGCCGCCCCGACCA
rnacentral:tRNA from 2 species